rnacentral:rRNA from 1 species
UAGGGAAUCUUCGGCAAUGGACGAAAGUCUGACCGAGCAACGCCGCGUGAGUGAAGAAGGUUUUCGGAUCGUAAAACUCUGUUGGUAGAGAAGAACGUUGGUGAGAGUGGAAAGCUCAUCAAGUGACGGUAACUACCCAGAAAGGGACGGCUAACUACGUGCCAGCAGCCGCGGUAAUACGUAGGUCCCGAGCGUUGUCCGGAUUUAUUGGGCGUAAAGCGAGCGCAGGUGGUUUAUUAAGUCUGGUGUAAAAGGCAGUGGCUCAACCAUUGUAUGCAUUGGAAACUGGUAGACUUGAGUGCAGGAGAGGAGAGUGGAAUUCCAUGUGUAGCGGUGAAAUGCGUAGAUAUAUGGAGGAACACCGGUGGCGAAAAGCGGCUCUCUGGCCUGUAACUGACACUGAGGCUCGAAAGCNGUGGGGAGCAAACAGGAUUAGGAAUA